AUCAACUUUCGAUGGUAGGAUAGAGGCCUACCAUGGUGGUAACGGGUAACGGGGUGUUAGGGCACGACACCGGAGAGGGAGCCUGAGAAACGGCUACCACAUCCAAGGAUGGCAGCAGGCGCGCAAAUUACCCAAUCCCGACACGGGGAGGUAGUGACAAUAAAUAACAAUACGGGGUUCUUUCGGAUUUCGUAAUUGGAAUGAGUACAAUUUAAAUCUCUUAACGAGGAACAAUUGGAGGGCAAGUCUGGUGCCAGCAGCCGCGGUAAUUCCAGCUCCAAUAGCGUAUAUUAAAGUUGUUGCAGUUAAAAAGCUCGUAGUUGAAUUUCGGGGUCAGUAGGUCGGUCGUGCCACUGGUAUGAACUGGUUUUACUGAUUCCUCCCUCUUGAAGAACUGUAAUGCCAUUAAUUUGGUGUUGCAGGGAAUCAGGACUGUUACUUUGAAAAAAUUACAGUGUUUAAAGCAGGCUUUAGCUUGAAUACAUUAGCAUGGAAUAAUGAAAUAGGACGUUUGAUCCUAUUUUGUUGGUUUCUAGGAUUGACGUAAUGAUUAAUAGGGAUAGUUGGGGGCAUUAGUAUUCAAUUGUCAGAGGUGAAAUUCUUGGAUUUAUUGAAGACUAACUACUGCGAAAGCAUUUGCCAAGGAUGUUUUCAUUAAUCAAGAACGAAAGUUAGGGGAUCGAAGACGAUCAGAUACCGUCGUAGUCUUAACCAUAAACUAUGCCGACUAGGGAUCGGAUGAUGUUAAUUUUUUAAUGACUCAUUCGGCGCCUUACGGGAAACCAAAGUGUUUGGGUUC
rnacentral:rRNA from 1 species